rnacentral:rRNA from 1 species
AUUGAACGCUGGCGGCAUGCCUUACACAUGCAAGUCGAGCGGUAACAGGUCUUCGGAUGCUGACGAGUGGCGAACGGGUGAGUAAUACAUCGGAACGUGCCUAGUAGUGGGGGAUAACUACCCGAAAGAGUGGCUAAUACCGCAUGAGAUCUACGGAUGAAAGCAGGGGAUCGCAAGACCUUGUGCUACUAGAGCGGCCGAUGGCAGAUUAGGUAGUUGGUGGGAUAAAAGCUUACCAAGCCGACGAUCUGUAGCUGGUCUGAGAGGACGAUCAGCCACACUGGGACUGAGACACGGCCCAGACUCCUACGGGAGGCAGCAGUGGGGAAUUUUGGACAAUGGGCGAAAGCCUGAUCCAGCAAUGCCGCGUGCAGGAUGAAGGCCUUCGGGUUGUAAACUGCUUUUGUACGGAACGAAAAGCCCCGGGUUAAUACCCUGGGGUCAUGACGGUACCGUAAGAAUAAGCACCGGCUAACUACGUGCCAGCAGCCGCAGUAA